GCGGAUGUGGCGGAAUUGGUAUACGCGCUAGGUUUAGGUCCUAGUGAGGCAACUCGUGGGGGUUCGAGUCCCUUCAUCCGUACCA
rnacentral:tRNA from 1 species